rnacentral:lncRNA from 1 species
UAAUUAUUAAUAUUUAUUAAUAGAAAAAAUAUUAUUAAUUAUUUAUAAUUAAUUAUAAAUAAUAAAUUAAUAAUAAUAAUUAUCUAAUUAUUAAUAUUUAAUUAUAAAUAAUAAAUUAUUUAAAUUAUUUAAUUAUUAAAGUAAUAAAUAAUAAUUUAAAUAUAUUAAUUAGAUUAAUUAAUAAUUUACUGCUAUUAAAAUUAAAUUUAGAUUUUAAUUAAUCUUGUUCUCAUCAAGGAACAAGCUUGUUCCAGGAAACGGGUGGAACAGCAGUUCCAGCCUUAUACCAGCUAGUUCCAGAUUCCCGGAAACUACUGUUCCCGGGAACCAAACAUUGCGUUUGGGAACAAAGGGGGGAACAAGGGCUUAUUCCCCCCCUUGUUCCCGAACCAAACACUACCUUAGAGAAGAGAUCAUUUAUCCCAUUCUCGUCCUUAUGCUUUUUCAUCUUAUUA